GUACUGAUGAAGAGUCCCAAACUGUGACGAAACAGCUGUCCAGUAC
rnacentral:hammerhead_ribozyme from 1 species